rnacentral:lncRNA from 1 species
AUUACCAUGGAAACAAAGCACAUCACGACAAGAGAGACAUUACCAUGGAAACAAAGCACAUCACGACAAGAGAGACAUUACCAUGGAAACAAAGCACAUCACGACAAGAGAGACACCGCCAUGGAAACAAAGCACAUCACGACAAGAGAGACAUUACCAUGGAAACAAAGCACAUCACGACAAGAGAGACAUUACCAUGGAAACAAAGCACAUCACGACAAGAGAGACAUUACCAUGGAAACAAAGCACAUCACGACAAGAGAGACAUUACCAUGGAAACAAAGCACAUCACGACAAGAGAGACAUUACCAUGGAAACAAAGCACAUCACGACAAGAGAGACAUUACCACACUAUGUGAAGAGAACCCUAUGGCAACAAAAAGCAGCAUGGCAUAAACAACAUUAAGGGUAGACAACAGCACGAGGGGGAAAGACAAAGAGUCAAGCCACGAUACAGGAAACAUAACACUACUGAAGAGCCAAAUAGACAGAGACAACAAAUAAAGACACAGAAAGCAGACACCACAAUCAGCAGCCUAGGUUGUUGGCAUAACAGCGACAGUUGCCAGUGAGGAUAUCCAGGAUUGAAUCUUUGUAAGCUGAGACAGAGACACAACUUUCCAGUUUCAUAGUUUUUUUUGUAGAUUGUUCCAGUCGCUAGAUGCAGCGAACUGAAAAGAGGAACAACAAUGUGUGUGCUUUGGGGGCUUUUAAGAGAAUGUGUUAUGGGUAUGCUUGUAAUCGUUAAGGACUGGAGUGUUUAUCAGGAUAAAACAUUUCUUACUGAAUGGAGCUAAGCACAGGCAAAAUCCUAGAGGAAAACCUGGCUGUCUGCUGUGCACCAGACACUGGGAGAGGAAUUCACCUUUCAGCAGGACAAUAACCUAAAACACAAGGCCAAUUAUACACUGGAGUUGCUUACCAAGAAGACAGUGAAUGUUCGUGAGUGGCCUAGUUACUGUUUUGACUUAAAUCUACUUGAAAAUCUAUGGCAAGACCUGAAAAUGGUUGUCUAGCAAUGAUCAACAACCAAUUUAACAGAGCUUGAAGUCUUUUGAAUAGAAUAAUGGGCAAAUGUUGCACAAUCCAGGUGUGGAAAACUCUCAGAGGCUUACCCAGAAAGACUCACAGUUGUAAUCGCUGCCAAAGGACUCUUAAUUGUUUGGCAUCUGGAAAAGG